rnacentral:rRNA from 1 species
AUUGAACGCUGGCGGCAGGCCUAACACAUGCAAGUCGAGCGGAUGAAGGGAGCUUGCUCCUGGAUUCAGCGGCGGACGGGUGAGUAAUGCCUAGGAAUCUGCCUGGUAGUGGGGGAUAACGUCCGGAAACGGGCGCUAAUACCGCAUACGUCCUGAGGGAGAAAGUGGGGGAUCUUCGGACCUCACGCUAUCAGAUGAGCCUAGGUCGGAUUAGCUAGUUGGUGGGGUAAAGGCCUACCAAGGCGACGAUCCGUAACUGGUCUGAGAGGAUGAGCAGUCACACUGGAACUGAGACACGGUCCAGACUCCUACGGGAGGCAGCAGUGGGGAAUAUUGGACAAUGGGCGAAAGCCUGAUCCAGCAAUGCCGCGUGUGUGAAGAAGGUCUUCGGAUUGUAAAGCACUUUAAGUUGGGAGGAAGGGCAGUAAGUUAAUACCUUGCUGUUUUGACGUUACCAACAGAAUAAGCACCGGCUAACUUCGUG